UACAGGGGGGGCAAGCGUUGUUCGGAAUUACUGGGCGUAAAGGGCUCGUAGGUGGCCAACUAAGUCAGACGUGAAAUCCCUCAGCUUAACUGGGGAACUGCGUCUGAUACUGGAUGGCUUGAGUUUGGGAGAGGGAUGCGGAAUUCCAGGUGUAGCGGUGAAGUGCGUAGAGAUUUGGAGGAACACCAGUGGCGAAGGCGACUUUCUGGUCUGUAACUGACACUGAGGCGCGAAAGCGUGGGGAGCGAACAGG
rnacentral:rRNA from 1 species